AGAAGAGUCAUCUAUAAAUUGAGCUCAUUUAAACGUGAAAGAAGACUUCCCCGAAAAGAAAUGAAAAGGAUCCCUCUGAUAGAGAAGCAAAGUGUUUUGUUUUUGCUUUUGUUUUCUGGAGAGGAAGAAUACCUAGCUUUACAAAAAGCUCCUAGAUCACCAGUUCUGAUAGAUCAGAGAAGUCUUUGAAUAAACGUCUCUCAGCUUAGAGGCCCCCUCUGUGUGUCUUGAGCUGUGUGUGACUUCAGGGUUAGUGGGCUUAGGAGUCUCACAGAGGGUUGAGGGGACUCCUCCUACUUAGUGUGUCAAAGUGUUCUUGCUAGCCCGAAAAAGAAAUCUAAACAAGUCCGAUUUGUCAUCUUGUUAAAUCUCGAGGAAUUCAAAAACACAUCCUUACUAAUCAACUGGUCAAACACUAUUUACUCAUUGAGCAAAAGUCCUCAUCUCGUCGGACCCUGUAAAGGUUUUAUACUCAAGGCUUCCCUUGACAUAGAUUCAUUAAACUAUAUACUUUCAUUAUCGUUAAGAUGUCUAAUUGUGUCCAAACUGUUGCCACCAGUAACUUGUGAAUUCCAUAAUCUUUCCAUUAAGAUCUUGUAUUUCCCUGAUAUUAGCUCCCUUUUUUGGUAAAUUUAGGUGUCUCCCUGCAAAAUUAAUUAAAAAACUAAAAUAAAACAUACUUUAUCUCUCUGAUCAGAGGGUCCAUUUUCAUUUCCUUUGGGGGAAGUAAUAAUUUAAGUUGUUAAAUGCACUUAAUUUAUAGGUGAAUCUUCUCCUUAUCUGUCUUUCUUUUUCUUAUUUAUCGAUCACCAGCUGAGAACUGGAUUUAUUUGUUCUUACUAGUCUUUUAAAUAUUUCUUUUUAUUUCCUAUAAAU
rnacentral:lncRNA from 1 species